UGGAGGACGGUGUGGGGCGAAAGGCCAGCCAGCAGCAAGUAUAAGAUUAUAAAAAGCGAAGGGGACAGCAGCAGGGGGCGAAAAAAUGUGAUUGUGAGGCUGGCCAAAUACCCAAGAUGAUCCAAGAGGUUCCCACUUCACGAGUCCAUGUCCAGCAGCCUGCUGUUCUUCACAGUAGCUUCACUGAUGUUCCUUACAGAGACUGACUUCCAGCCCCUUAGCACAAGAACAAAACGGGCUCUGGUGGCUGUGAUCUUAAUUCCUUAAGUAAUUCUCGCUGUAUUUUCUGGUGUGAGAGACCACUGGAAGUCAUUUAAAAUUGAAAUAAAGAUAGCAGCUUCAUAAAGUAUGACGAGAAGGUAGGGAAACCAAUGGAUUUUAGUUGGACUUACUAGAAAUGAGACCACUAGAAGAAGGUGGAGGCAUUCAUUAGAGCUUCUCUCAGCACACGGAGGACAACGUGCAGCUGUUAUCAAUGCACACCGCUGUGUACCUCACUUGAUCAGCCCCAGGCAGCAGGAGAUAUCUCCCAGCCACAGGGCACACAGAAUCUCCAACACGCCCAGAGGCUGCAGAUGAAGGUGUUCAGCAGUAGAGAGAAGGGCAGUGUGGAGAGUCCAGCAUAUCACAAUUCAAUGCAAGAGAGAGACAGGGUCAAUUAUUAAACCCUGGGCAGCCUGCAGGGCUUUCAGCACUGGCUAAGGAAAGCUGUUUGAAAAGCUACUUUCUCUCCUGGAGCAUUAAGUGAAAAUGCAUAAUUUGUGGGUUUUUAGGGUAUUUGUCAUUGAGAGCAUUGGGCAAACAUUCACUGCGUGGUGUCCAUAGAGUUUCCAGCCCUUCUGUUGUCAGCUCACUGAUCCUGCAGGAGCUUAACUCCAGCUUGUAUAAAACCAGUGUUAAAAAGACAUAUAUUAACACAGAUAUUACUACUACAGAGGGAGUGAGGAAGGCAGCUGUAUCUCUACUGCUAAAUACUUUUCCUUACUAAACUUUAGAUCAGUUAUGCUUUGAUAUGAAUCCUUAUCCACAGGAGGAAAAUACAGGGUUUAGAAAGACUGUACAUCACCUAAAGUCAGCCUGAAAG